rnacentral:sRNA from 1 species
AUGGCAUGCAGUAAGCCUGCUACAAGCAAAACAUUUGAAUUUGAAGCUUCUGUAGUGAAGAAAGAUGUAAAAGUUAAGGUCUACAUAAAUAAUGAAUCCACACUUCAUUCAUUUCCAUUUUCGCUAACAGCAGCUGAAACUGUAGGCCUACCAUUGUUAGCUUCAGAUCUGAAGAGCUUAAUUUUAUCAGAACUUCACGAAUUUCUUCCCACUAAAGAAGGACAAAAAUAUAUCUUAUAUGGGAGAAACCAAACUGGCAUUGAAAGUAUCAUAGCAGAUGACACACCUUUGAAAUCAAUUAUGACAAUAUACAUUUUGGAUGGCAGCUUUAGAAUUAAACAAGUAUAACUCUACUUACUGUAGCUUUAGGGUUACCAGACUUCUGCAUGUCUAGAGGAGGACAAAAAGUAGGACAAAACCUUAACAAUUAGAAAAAAAACAACAGAAAAAAUAAACUUGAAAUAAAAACUAAUUAGUUUCACAAUGUAUUUGAUGAAGCAUGUCAGUUAACCAUGGGCUGUAAACUUUGUCUAACAUGAAGCAUUGGCUGCAUGGAUGUGUAGUAUGCGCCCUAGACUGUCAUACGAUGGUCAUGGUGGCCCUGAGUUUGUCAUCCCCAAUCACCUGCAGGAAGUUUGGGUCAUGUGAUUGAUGAUGUAAUUAUCUUCAAAUCUGAAGAAACAUCCAAAACAUGUAAAACAAACAGCGAAAAUAUUCUUUCAGUGUUAGUAUUAUGCCGGGAAAUGCAAUAAUAAAAUAGAACAUCCAGCGAGCUCUGAGUAAUAAGUUUCAUUAGUAACAACCGUGAAUAAACAAUUACAAGUUAGGAAUAGAACUUUUCAUCCUUGUACUAUUUAUAAGUGUAUUUGAAACUAAGAUUUGAAGGAAUUUGAUUCAUUGAUAAAUGGCAUCCCUAUAAACGAAAGAAUGAAAGACAGAAAUAUUCACUUUUUAGAUCAGUACUUUCUGGCUGAAGGGUACAACUCCAAAAAAGACAUAUCUUCCUUUUGCCUGUCGUCUGGUAACCCUGACUAGCUCUAAAGACUUAUAAUCUGUCUUUGAGUCAAGAAGACAAGAUUGUAUUAUCAUGCUUGCAAUAAUUGUUAUUGUUUCUUUAGUUUAGGAAAACUCCCAAAAAUCUAAUUUAUAAACUAAUUUAUAAACUAGAUGUUUUUAUUGAAGAAACUAAAAAAAAUACAUUUAUAUAAUUGGUCGCCUUCAGUCUUAAAUCAAUGUUGUAGAUCAUUUUUCCUAGUGGCUUAAGUACCCUAAUUUGGAGAGUCUUGCAAAUGUUUAUAAUGCUUUUAAAUGUAUAGUUGAUAUAUAUGCAAUAAAACCACGCCAAAAUAAUGUCAGUAUCCUGAAGUGCUACUGUAAUCAGGAUGAAAUUUAAAGGCGUUUUUUGUUUGAUUCAUGAGAUGAAAGGACAUUUUUUAAAAAUCUGAAACUUGUUGAAAAUUGAUUGAAGUAAUAAGGGAAAAAACAAAACAUUAAAAUGUAUAAUUGUUCUUUUAACUUACAGUUUAAGCUGAUUACUAAAUAAUUCAUUUGUUUCAAGAUACCACCAUUCUCAGAUAAUUAAUGGAUGGCUGGUAUGCACUCUUGAUUUUCAUCUCUCUAUUGUUCAAACCUUGCCCACUACCAUCCCAUUUCAUCCUGUAAGAAUCUUCAAUUCUGAAGAAACAUCAAAUUAAUUUAUUAAUUGGGCUGGAUUGAAAACUUUGUUUAGUGUAGAAUAGAAAAAGAUUUUAACUGUUUAGAUUUUCAAGAAAAAAAAUGGAGAAGCAGGUUCUUCUCAAAAGUUUGAAGGUGGCUGAGUGGUAAAACACUUGGCUUCUGAAUAGAGGUGUUACAAGUUUGAAUCCUGGUGAAGAUUUGGAUCUUGAAUGUCAAGAUUUUUAGGACGAGCCUUUAAUGUUGUACAUAAAGUUUAAAGGUAUAUGUUUGUUGAGCUGGCCACAUGUUAAGACUCUUGUUAUAAAGGCCAUUGAUACUGUUGAGCUAUUCAUCAUCUGUUCCCAAGACUUAAAGAUCUGAACUUUUUUUUUCUUUUACUAGUAGACUUAUUCAACCUUAGUCAAGAUAAAGGAAUCAAUCUCUAUAGUGCUACUAGGUUUGUGACUUUAGAUGGAGUAAUUUCCAAAAUAUUAUAAUUCAUUAAUUCACAUAUAUUGUCUCUUCUAUUUUUAAAUUAAAGGUACAAGUUUUAUUUCAAGUUCA